rnacentral:rRNA from 1 species
UACAGAGGUCCCAAGCGUUGUUCGGAUUCACUGGGCGUAAAGGGUGCGUAGGUGGUGAGGUAAGUCGGAUGUGAAAGCUCCGAGCUCAACUCGGAAAUGGCAUUGGAAACUACCUUGCUAGAGGGUUGGAGGGGGGACUGGAAUACUUGGUGUAGCAGUGAAAUGCGUAGAUAUCAAGUGGAACACCAGUGGCGAAGGCGAGUCCCUGGACAACACCUGACACUGAGGCACGAAAGCUAGGGGAGCGAACGGG